UGGUGUUGUUUGCUUAUAUUGUUGAUACUCUUUGAUAUUUUAAUUAGCUCACAUCAUUAUACCACAUUAUAGCUGAUUAUUAUAAUUUGAAGAGUAGCAGGCUACAUGUGGCACAUUUAUUUUAAGAUUAUGAGACAACACUAGUUUGAAAAGCAAAAGUCUCCUAAAUAGCCCUUUAACAAAUAUAUAAUAUAUAAUAUAUAAUAUAUUAUACUAAUAUAAUAUUAGUAGGAUAUUUGCUUGAGCAACUUAACAUCAUUCUGCCAAACAGGAAUCUUCCACAGGCAAAGUAGAAAUGAAGUCUCACUUUUUGCACUAAAUAAAUGCUGUAGUUAUUGAUAUUCACACAAAGGGAGAAAUUAUUAUACAGUUGAUUUCUAUUUACAAAAUGGUGUGAAAAUUAUGUUGUUUUCCUGUUUUAUUUCAGCUAAACGACCUCCAAGUUGUUCAGCUGGUUGCAUUGCUGGAAUAGUAAUUGUUUGUCUUGUCAUUGGUGGAGCUGCUGGUGGUGGUGUAGGCUACAGCAUUUAUAAAAAAAAGUAAGUGAAAAAUUGCUUUGAAAUAUGACCAGGCGGCCAUUUCUCUAAAACAACAACAACUUUUUUGAGAGUCCAGUGAUAAAACAAUGUGCCAGUGUGCUUUGUUUUGGUCUGGUAAUUUAUGUUUUCUACAUAUUCUGACUUUAGCUUUGACUUUUAUGCUUUUCCUCAUUGGAGCUGCAUCUCAUCUCUGUACAACUAACACACUGUCAUGUGCAAAUAUUUAACUGUGUCAGAUUGCCAUUAUUGUUAUGAAAUCCUCUCAAAAACAUUUAAACUCCUAGGUGAUAAAAUUAAGGGUGCAGCUCCAUUUGAGAAAAACUACAAUUAUGUCCUAUUUAGAAAUGUAAUUUAUUAAAUAACCCAAUCAUAACACACUUUGUUAGUGUUACAGUUUUGAGUAGCAUUUAAGUGAUCACAUUUCAGCAAAGCUUUAUUUCUAACAUUUAGAAUCAACAGAAAUCCCUGGCCACAUAAAGCAGAACAAGAAGACAAGAUGUAUGAAAACAUGUCAGUGGUAUAUGAGAACGUCAAAUAAAUUCAACAAUCUUACUCUUUAGGAGAUGACCAAGAAAUAUACACUUACAAAGUCUUCAACUGGACCAAGAAAAGAGGAGCCACCACUGCUGUUUUGUUGUUGUUGUUGUUUUUCUUUUUGUUUUGUUUUUUAGAACAGAUACAAUUUCUCAUCUACCUUUAGGUUUUUUUUCCUUAUAGAUUAGUAAAUUAGGGUGAAGUGACAUUUUACAGUUCCAGGAUUACCAGUGUAUCUGCAAGUUUGUCAGACACCCAGCAGUAUAAAUGUGCUUAAAGCUGCAUUAAUUGACUUGUUGACUACUUUGAGGCAGAUGAUCUCCAUGACAACAUGGCUGAUGUAGCAGUCCUGGCUUAAAAUGAUUGAGGGCUUAUCAAAUAUUCUGCACAUUUUCCAUUUACACAUUCAGUACAGAACAACAGUAGCAUUUCUGCUGCAUUUAUGGUCCACUAGUCACUCUUUUUAUAGCUCUGGUUUGAUCUCUAUCAGCUCUUGAGAAAAAUACCUACAGUGUAAUAUGCUACUGUAUGUAGCUCUUAAACCUGCAGUAACUAAUUUUUGGCUUCUUGGGGGCAGUGGAAACAGUCUGUAAACACAUGAAUCCUUUUAAUGAAUUUUAUGAAUAUGUAAUGUACUUAGAGAUAAUGAAAUUAAUAAACAUGUCUUUAAUAUAACUGUAAGUCA